rnacentral:lncRNA from 1 species
CUCGGGCCUGAGGCCGUGCCCUGGGUGGAUCCGAGUGAUGGCCCAGGAGGUGGUCUGGGCACCGAAGAAUCGCGCUGGCCCUGACCGCAUGCCCCAGCCUUCCUGGGGUUUGUGAGGAGCUCUGAAGGAAAGAGAGUCUGGCCCACUGAAGGACGGCCAGACAGAAAGACACCUACAAUUCAGGCCUGGGUCUUUAGGUGCAGUGCAUAGCUCUGGUCAUGCUGUUGGUAUCUACAUGCAGGAGUGCAAGAAGAAGGAAGGGACACAGGGCACAGCUGCAGCAAGUCCUUCCUCUCUGUCCCAAAGAAGGCUUCCCAAAGGAG